rnacentral:rRNA from 1 species
GAUGAACGCUGGCGGCGUGCCUAAUACAUGCAAGUCGAGCGAACAGACGAGGAGCUUGCUCCUCUGACGUUAGCGGCGGACGGGUGAGUAACACGUGGAUAACCUACCUAUAAGACUGGGAUAACUUCGGGAAACCGGAGCUAAUACCGGAUAAUAUAUUGAACCGCAUGGUUCAAUAGUGAAAGACGGUUUUGCUGUCACUUAUAGAUGGAUCCGCGCCGCAUUAGCUAGUUGGUAAGGUAACGGCUUACCAAGGCAACGAUGCGUAGCCGACCUGAGAGGGUGAUCGGCCACACUGGGACUGAGACACGGUCCAGACUCCUACGGGAGGCAGCAGUAGGGAAUCUUCCGCAAUGGGCGAAAGCCUGACGGAGCAACGCCGCGUGAGUGAUGAAGGUAUUCGGAUCGUAAAACUCUGUUAUUAGGGAAGAACAAAUGUGUAAGUAACUAUGCACGUCUUGACGGUACCUAAUCAGAAAGCCACGGCUAACUACGUG